rnacentral:rRNA from 1 species
ACGAACGCUGGCGGCGCGUCUUAAACAUGCACGUCGAACGGCAGGAAGGGGCUUGCCCCUUCUGAGAGUGGCGGACUGGUGAGUAACACGUGGGUGACAUACCUUUUAGUUGGGGAUAGCUAUUAGAAAUAGUAGGUAAUACCGAAUGUGACCGUACCUGUUAGAGGGGUACGAGGAAAGGAGCUAAGGCUUCGCUAAAAGAAUGGCUCGCGGCCCAUUAUGCUCGUUGGUGAGGUAACGGCCCACCAAGGCGAUGAUGGGUAUCCGGCCUGAGAGGGUGAACGGACACAUUGGGACUGAGAUACGGCCCAGACUUCUACGGGAGGCAGCAGUUAAGAAUAUUCCGCAAUGGACGAAAGUCUGACGGAGCGACGCCGCGUGGAUGAAGAAUGCCGAAAGGCUGUAAAAUCCUUUUAAGCCUGAUGAAUAAGCACAGUAGGGAAUGAUUGUGCGGUGACCGUAGGGCUUGAAUAAGCACCGGCUAAUUACGUG